rnacentral:lncRNA from 10 species
AUUUGAUUAAGUUAAAUAUAAAUUUAAGUACAGCUAGUACCAGUGCUGAAAGUGUGUGUUAACUUUUAAGUUGAUAAAGAGAAAAAAUAAUAAAAUGAAAAUCCUAAUACCAAGAUUAGUAUUAGGGGACAUUAAUUAGAGGACAAUGAGGUAUCUUUUUCACAAGUGUUUCAUUUGGGCUUCCUCUCUGACAGGCAAACUGCCUCUUUCCUUGCUAGAAUUUCCGAUUGCUUUUUCAUUUCAAAUAGGGACUCUGGGUGUAGCCUGCUAGACCCUAACCAUAGAGCUGGUUUACUCAGGAAUUUGGGUUUCCUUUCAACUCUUCGUCCAGCUCUUGUGUGAAGCUUUUUAAAGGUUAAAUUGUUUGGCUUGGAUGUCACCAAAUGUAAGGUAUGGACAAACCUAGAAAUGUAAAACCCUUUUAUCUUUCUCUUUAAAACAUGCAGAGCCAACCACAGAAUAUGAAUCCUACUGUAAAAUCUUUUAAAAAAUUGCCCAGAAGGAAAUGAUAUGUGGAUUUAUUAGGUGAGUAACAUACUAAGGAAGUGACAGCAGAACCACAAGGAGAAGAGCAAAUCUUCAGACAGGACCAUUUGGCAAGAAUCAACUGUGCCUGAAUGUGAUGCGGAACCACAUCCUUCUAACCCAACCCUGCUGGGUUGCAUGGAGUUAAGUGUCUUCCAUAAGCAAGAAGUAAAACAAACUCCAUGGGAACUCGCUAAAACUCAAGCCUCAUUUCCCAAGUUUAUUUAUUUUCUUGUUCCUGUUGACUUUUAAUAUAACACAGUCACCCAGGAAUUUUUGCACCAAUUAGUCUCUGAUUUCACCAUUUCCUAUCUAGAUUUCUGACCAAACGGCUUCUCCCAGAACAAGUUCUGAAACCUAAUCUUUAUUUCUAUGACUGUCUAACUUGUUCUUUUAUCUCCACUUGUCAGCUUUGCCCUUUCCAGCCCCGGAGGUUGCUGAUAUCACUGCAGAGUGGUAACGGGUUCUGAAGAUGGGCCAGACUGCUUGGGCUUAGAUCUUACCUUUGCAAUAUACUAGCUAUGUGUAUAAUAUUGGAGGAAGCAAUGAAUCUCUUAAAUAUCCCUUUUCUCAUCAGAAUGGUAGAGAAAAAUAAUCAGAUUCAGAAAAACAAUCACAAAAAGGAAAAAGUGUAAAAACAUACGGUUCUCAGAGGAAAGAUGGCAAAUAAUCAAAUACAUAAAUUACAAGAGAUGAAUUUUUUGGAUGCAAUUUUCUUUUAUCAAAUUGUUAGAAUUCUAGGAAAAAUUUUGGUGAUAUCUAGUAUAAGGGUCUGAGAGAAUAAGAACUUUAACAAAUUCUUGUUAAAAAAAUAAUUCUGACUUUUUGAAAAUAAUGGUCUCUCUCUAAAGGGAUAUUUUUAAUGUACUUCAUAUGAAUACUUGUGUAUGUGCAACAACAUAUAUGUAAUUGGAUGUUGACUGAAAAUGUUAUAUUGGCACAAAAUGCAAACAUGUGAAAUAUAUUAAUAAUAGAAUAUUAUCAUGCUAUAUAAUUAUAUGUAUUAUAUAUUAUAAAAAUAUUAUUCUAAUUAUUGUGAAGUGAAAAAACAGGAAUAACAAAUAAGUACCAUACUUAAGAACAAUAGAUAAAUAAGAACAGUUUAUAUUUUAGUCCCAGCUUUCUAAUCACUGCAGGUCAAACUAGGAUUGGGUGCUGGUUCAGUUAUUUAAGUCAAUGCUUCUCAAAUCUUUGGGUUUCAUUGAUCAGAAAAUUUCACAAGCAGGCCGGGUACAGUGGCUCACACCUGUAAUCCCAGCACUUUGGGAGGAUGAGGCAGGUGGAUCACCUGAAGUCAGGAGUUUGAGAUUUGCCUGGCCAACAUGGUGAAACCUAUCUCUACUAAAAAUACGAAAAUUAGCUGGGUGUGGUGGUGCGUGCCUAUAAUCCCAGCUACUUGGGAGGCUGAGGCAGGAGAAUCACUUGAACUUGGGAGGCGGAUCCAGGAGGCAGAGGUUGCAGUGAGCAGAGAUCCCACCACUGUACUCUAGCCUGGGUGACAGAGUGAGACUGUCUCAAAAAAAAAAAAAAAAAAAAAAAAGAAAAAGAAAAUUUCACAAACAAAAUAGUAACCUACAUAGAGUUGCCAAAGUGUAUUUUGCUAAAUUAAGCAAUUAAGAUACCAAUCAUCCACUUUCACCAUCAAUUCCUUAAGAAAACAUUUUAACAUCAAAAUAGUAAAAACAAAUGCUUAUCUCAAAAUAACAGAAAGUUGGCCAGGCAUUGUGGCUCACAUCUGUAAUCCCAGCACUUUGGGAGUCCAAGGAGGGUGGACAACUUGAGGUCAGGAGUUCGACCUCAACCUGGCCAAUAUGGUGAAACCCUGUCUCUACUAAAAGUACAAAAAAAUUAGCUGGGUGUGGUGGUGGGCACCUGUAAUCCCAGACUCGGAAGUCUGUGGCAGGAGAAUUCCUUGAACCCGGGAGGUGGAGGUUGCAGUGAGCCAAGAUGAUUGUGCCACUGCACUCCAACCUUUGGGACAGAGCAAGACUCUGUCUCAAAAACAAAACAAACAACAAAAAAAACCAGAAAGUUAUUUCAGACAAAAAAAAAAUGGAUUUCAGGAAAAAUCAACUGUUUCACUCUAGUUUUUUCUGUUCUCAUAGUAGGCUUCUAAAUAUUUUGUCAUAUAACUGCAGCUUGUCACUUAUGAAAUACUGAUUUAGAUAUUUCUCUUUCAUUAGUGUCUAUUUCCAGCAAAUAGAGAAAAAAGAACCAUUUUAUACAACUAAAGAAAAGAUGAGCUGAAAAUCAAGCUUUAGCUGGGAUAGAAAUGUAAACAAUGCUCAAUGCAGAAGGUAAAUUUUAAUCUUAGAACCAAAAGUUGUCUUGCCAAUAAACCAUGCCAGCAAUUCUCAAUGCAGGUCAUUCACUGGAAUCAUCUAGAGACUUACAAAAGAAGUAUGAUACACUGAUCCCAUCUCUAGAGAUUCUGAUUCAACUAGUCUGGUGUGAGGCCCAAACUCAGAUAUUAUUUUAACAGUUCCCCACAUGAUUAUAAUAAGUGGCAAGAGUUGAUUGCCACUGAUCGAAUCUGUUUUGUUUUUCAGUAAUGAGAAACAGUUUAUAAAGUGAAUUCUAACAUGUUUUCCUUUUAAGAUAAUUUGAAAAGCAAACAAAAUAAAUUAAAAAACAAGAAAGUUUGGGUUUUCAGCAAUAAUGUUCAAAUAUCUCAUUUUGCCCUAAAAUACUAAGGAUCAAAUAAUUUAAAUAACUUACCUAGAGUUGCAGGCCUACAUCAAAAUAUUGAUAUCAAUGUAAAAUAUAUACAUAAACUGUUUCUUUGUGUGAAGAUGAUUAAUAUUUAUUCAAAAUAUCAUGACUUAAAGGAAUUAAUAAUGCAUUCUCACAUAUUGAUUUUAAGGUGAAAACUGAGUUGCCUUUUAAAAAGAAACUUCCUCUUCAUGAAAGACUUGACUUGCAUUAGUAUAAGUUAUGGGUGUAUUUCCUAAGUUGUUAAAUUUUGAGGACAAGCUUAAGAUCUGAUGAAUCAGAAAGUGUUGAUUCUCUUUGAACAAAGUACCCCAAUUAACUGUAGGCCAGUAUUUCUCAAAGUGUGAUACUAUAAAUCACACUUGUAUUAAUAUCAUACAAUAGUCCAAAAUGUAGAUUAUUUUUCUGAGGAUGGGAUCCCGAAAAGGGUGGAUGUUACAACUCUCUUCAUGUUUUGGAUCUAAACAAAAAUUUAAGAACCAUUGCUCUAGGUCUAAAUCAGGUGGUCCCCAGACCAGACUUUGAAAAACAUAGCUCUACUUUCAGGAUACAUUUUAAUCUUUUUUGUUUGUUUGUGAACACUAGCUGACUUUGCUCUCCUGGGAGCUAGUUGAAACAUUUUGCACAGGCACCAUUUCUGAGCAGGGUGUCACUAACCCACUGCAGUGUGAUUCCUACUUAGAAGCAGUGCCUUAGAAAUCUCAGUUCCAUUACAUAAGGUACCUGGUACUUGCUGAUUAGGAAGAUUAACAGAGGUAAACAGCGGCUUUUAAUCUUUUCUAGACUUUCAGGCUCCUAUAAACCCAGAACAACUCUCCUGUCAAAAUAGAGAUAAAGAAGCUUAACUGAUGCACAAUUCUAUUUCUAAUAUUUCUGUGGCUUUUACAACUCACUGUAGGAUCUGGUUUUUGAGUACCUGUUCUGUAAGAUUUGUAGCUACUGUAUUUCCAUGUGGAGAGUAAGAAAUUUCUAACAUUGCCAGCCUAUGAUACAUAUAGCCAUAUGAAAAGUGGGAGGGCAUCAUUGCAAUGGAAAAACCAAUACCAAACUGAUUGUAAUCCCUGUUUAGGAUUUGUGGAAUACCUUUAUAUCUGUAAUUACUGUUAUGCUUUUUUUGGGUAGAAAAUAAAUCACACAAGUAUGCAGGAGAAAUGUAUUUAAUUGCUUUUUUCACAGUCAAUGCAACUAUGUCUCACACUAUUUCCCCAG